rnacentral:rRNA from 1 species
CCCUUAGAUGUUCUGGGCCGCACGCGCGCUACACUGAUGCAUUCAACGAGUCUAAAACCUGCUCUGAUAGGGGUGGGUAAUCUUUUGAAUGUGCAUCGUGAUUGGGAUAGAUGAUUGAAAUUUUUCAUCUUCAACGAGGAAUGCCUAGUAAACGCAAGUCAUCAGCUUGCAUUGAUUACGUCCCUGCCCUUUGUACACACCGCCCGUCGCUCCUACCGAUUGAAUGAUCCGAUGAAUAUCAUGGAUUGAGGAUGCAAGCAGGUUCGCCUGUCUUCAUCUUCGAGAAGUGAAGUAAAUCUUAUCAUUUAGAGGAAGGAGAAGUCGUAACA